AUGGCCGUAGCUGGUCGGCCCCAAACAGAGAGGCAUAAGGGUUGUAGUGAGAAAAAGAGGAAAAGUGGCCAGCACUUAUGCCCUAUUUGUAAGGAAUACGGGCACCAUUGGCACAAGUGCAAGAAGGGGAACAAAUAUGACAUUGCUGCUUUGAUGGAGUUGAGAGAACCACCAAAGAAGAGGAGGAAGACUACCAAAUCAGCCGAGUCAUCCAUUGUGCCAAGAGGUGAUGAAGCACCGGCAACCGCUAUGUAUUUUCCACCAAGCCAAAGCUUAGAAAUUACAACCAAGAAGAAAGGAAAACAUAGCCAAACUUUGAAGACUACAAACAAGAAAAAUGCAAAAGGGUGUAAAAGAUCAGGGAAGGGGAAGAAGAUGGAGCUUGCUAAAAAGGAUGAAAGUUGUCCUAUGGUGCCACCAUUCGACAGCCCCGCAAUGAGCACAAGAAGCAAAAAAGCUAACCCAGCCAGCCCCGCAAUGAGCACAAGGAGUAGAAGAAGACUUAGCUUGUGA
rnacentral:rRNA from 1 species